GAGAGGGAGGAUAAGUCUGUGGGUUGGGCUAGUUUGAUGUGAGAGAGUGAGAGAAUCUGUUAAGAGGAGUCAGUUAAACAGUUGGGAUACUCAGUUAGAAGGUAUUAGGAAGGUAUAGGCCGGUAAAGAAACUAAGGUUAAGAAACUGACAAGAAAAAUUAUCUGAAACCAUAAACUUGUUAAUGCUUAUAAAAUAAACUUGUUUAUUUGGUUUAA